CUUUACAUUUGGUCCUACCAAAUGAUCUUCGGUUGUCUUGCACCAUUGAAAUUGAAGUAGUUUUGAUCAUCACUACUGAAUCUGACAGAAGGAUUUCCACUAAUUAAAGAGUGUUUCUACAGUACCCAAUCAUUUUCAACUCCAUUGCAUUCAUCAGUGGAGUAGCUACAGCCUACAGUAAUACACUGAGUUUUUAGUGUUGAACUUCCCACGAAGUUCACUUCUCAGACCAUCUGCUUGUUGACGUUCAAACGAAGGUCACUCGACGUUAACUCGAAGGAGACGAAGCUCGGUGGAGAAUGUCCGUUUUUAUUCAUUGUGUAGAGGGAUGUGACUCGAACCCAGAACAAUGUUGGUGUUCUCCAUUUGCAUUAAAUCUGAAAUUGUUCUUUGUAGGGUUCGUCAAUAAUUCUGAAAAUCCCCAAUUUUCAAACCAAGGGCCCUGAAAUCUCCACCUAAUGGAUUGUUGGACACAACAAAUUCUUCUAACGAGCGCAUCUCUUGCAAAGACAAGGUCAAUCCACCAGUGAAUUUGUUAUUCCUAAGGUCCACAAGGUCAGAUUCUUUAAGGGCAUUUACUACUAUUUCUAUCAAAUUUUCAAGAACAGGCAGUGGCGAUUACAGCUGCACGGAAAGUGAAAGGGCAUGGAGAUGGUACUGUUGGGAUGUUUGGUUGGCUUGUUGUGGCUGCAAUUGCUGGGUCCUUGAAUGUGUUGCUGACAAAUCCAAUUUGGGUUUUAGUGACUCGGAUGCAGGUGCUUUCAGAUGCUUUUAUUUUCUUCCUGGACUGUUUUAUAUGAUUAUAUGUUGUCAAACAUAAUUCUGGUUGCUUUUCAUUUGAUAUUUUUCUUUUAUAUUUUAUGAAUACGGUCACUUACAUUGAUUCAUUAUGUAUGUUAAGUUAAUUUUAGUAUAUAGAGAUGUUAAUUGUAUUUUUCUUUCUUCUUUUUCUCUUCUAAAAAUUUUACGAACAAGUUUCUCUGAACAUACCAUUAACCUUUAACCGAGUCAAAUGGUGUCGUGUAAUUUAUGUAUCUUUGUUUCUAAAAGUUGUGUGGACUACUUACGUCUAACAAAAGUUCAAUAAUUUUCACAUGAAAGUUUCGGGAUGUGGCUUAAAGCCAAGGGUUAGAAUCUAUAGACUUUCAAUACUUAAAGCUGGCUUCUAUUUUAGAACUUUAGUAUGUUCGGAGGGCAAACAUACUAAACAAUGGCUGACAUAGUUUUAUAUUCACUCUAAUUUGUUGUUUAUUGUUUUUAUUUUUUUUUAUUUUUGCAAAUCACACUUAUGUUAUUGAUUAUUUAACUUUAAUAUUUUUUUAUCAUUUC